rnacentral:rRNA from 1 species
AUCCCGAUGCUAUUUCUAGAGAUAGAAAGUUACUUCGGUACAUCGGUGACAGGUGGUGCAUGGUUGUCGUCAGCUCGUGUCGUGAGAUGUUGGGUUAAGUCCCGCAACGAGCGCAACCCCUAUUGUUAGUUUGCCAUCAUUCAGUUGGGCACUCUAGCGAGACUGCCGGUAAUAAACCGGAGGAAGUGGGAUGACGUCAAAUCAUCAUGCCCUUAUGACCUGGGCUACACACGUGCUACAAUGGCUGGUACAACGAGUUGCGAGUCGGUGACGGCGAGCUAAUCUCUUAAAGCCAAUCUCAGUUCGGAUUGUAGGCUGCAACUCGCCUACAUGAAGUCGGAAUCGCUAGUAAUCGCGGAUCAGCACGCCGCGGUGAAUACGGUUCCCGGGCCUU